AUAUAUGAGGACAUUCUCCAUUUUUAGAGGAGAGAGACAUAGGAAAAGAUAAUUAGAGAUCCCCUUCUCUGAGCGAGCAACGAUGCCCCUGUUCUUCAACUUCCUCCUCUCUGAAGAACUAGCAACUCCUUCACCUCUCAAAAAUGCAUCCAUCUCUCAAAAAUAGUGAAGAAAAAAAAAAAAAAGAAAAUGAAGUUGAAAACGAGAAAAUGGGGGUUCGGACAGAAAGAAAAUCAUCAAGUUCUUCUUAACCUAAAUUUCUUUUUAUUUUAAAAUCAGAAAAAAAAAGAAAAAAAAAAUUCGGCUUUCCUUCUAUUUGAUUUCGGGUUUCAGUACGAAGUUGGUGAUGCCGAAUGGUAUUUGAUUUUCUCUGUUCGAGAUCGAAUUUUGAGAUUCAAUAUUAAGGGCUGUGAAAUCCGUAGGUGCUGCUGCUUUUCUCCAUGUGAGUUGUUGAGCUUCAUCUUAAAGUUUUGGACCUUUAUUUGGUCUUCUACCCUCUCCUAUUAUGUAUGUGAGUAUGAAGUUGGUGAUGCCGAAUGGUAUUUGAUUUUCUCUGUUCGAGAUCUAAUUUUGAGAUUCAAUAUUAAGGGCUGUGAAAUCCGAAGGUGCUGCUGCUUUUCUCCAUGUGAGUUGUUGAUCUUCAUCUUAAAGUUUUGGACCUUUAUUUGGUCUUCUACCCUCUCCUAUUAUGUAUGUGAGGUAAACAUCUACUGCCUCAAUUUUUCUUGUCUUGUUGUUUGUUUGUUGAUGUAUUGAAUACUGUGAUGAAAUGCAUUGGAUUGUAAAUCUUGUUGUGAUAUUUCUUUUACUGCUUGAA